UACAGAGGGGGCAAGCGUUGUUCGGAAUUACUGGGCGUAAAGGGCGCGUAGGCGGCCUUCUAAGUCGAACGUGAAAUCCCCGGGCUCAACCCGGGAACUGCGUCCGAUACUGGAAGGCUUGAAUCCGGGAGAGGGAUGUGGAAUUCCAGGUGUAGCGGUGAAAUGCGUAGAGAUGUGGAGGAACACCGAUGGCGAAGGCAGCCCCCUGGGUCAAGAUUGACGCUCAUGCACGAAAGCGUGGGGAGCAAACAGG
rnacentral:rRNA from 1 species